ensembl:lncRNA
CUAAAGGGCAACUCCUCCACAUUUCAACCUCAUUCAUUAUCUCCAGCCCCAAACCAGUGUCUACAUAUGCGAAAUCGUUACGUUUCUGUGGUUAAAAGAUAAAGGUCCCAAAUGCUUCUAACAUCACGGUAGGCUUAGUUGUAAGAAACUGUUUAUUAUAUAUGUGAGUAGCUUUUAACCAGAGGGAGUUUAUUUUCUUCCUCCCCAUGAUGACCUGCGAAGAUCAGUGUUUGAAAAUCAGUCUUCAGACUUUUUACUUUUGUCAUCUGCUAAAACCUAACUGCCGUUUUCACAUAUGUCGACUGUUUUAGUGCUGGAGAUCGUGAAUAUAUUUGUGGCGGAGAUGCUCUUUUUAAGUGUUAAGAAUCAUUAAUGUCCUGUUUUCUCUUUUAUAGUCUCCAAGGUGAAGAGUACAAUGAGGAAGAUUAGAUGCCACCAUGACCUAUUGGUGUCACUGUCCAAGCAAAUGGCACAUGAACGUAGCAGUAAGGCCUGCCUUUUCUCCGUGAAAGAAUAUAGUGAUAAAGGGUGGUGCAGCACUGCUUGCUGACUUACUGGUUAGUGGGUCAUGAUGUGACUCCACAAUGGAUGUGAAGUUGCCAAUGCGAAAUUGGUAUACCGCUGGUUGGUGUCCUAGCGGCUGUGACCUGGAAGUAGCAGAAUGAUUGCCGCCUUUCCUCCCUGAAAGAAUGCUGUGCAGUGUGCACAUAACAGCGAUAAAGGAUGGUCUGGAGGUGCAGCAGUGCUGACCUACUGGUUAUAGUGGGUCAUGAUGAGGCGCCACAAGCCACGGUAAGUCCUUGCUGAGUUUGGUUAUGCACUGGCUAAAUGUCUUGUUCUCCUAGCAAUCUGCCCCUUGAGGUGUUGCAGUCCGACUGUACGUGUUGAGCCUGUGUCAUGAGGGGCGGAGAGUGACAGGGCUAUGUCUACGCCAAGGACCCAGAACAGUGGGUACUUGGAGUGAUCAUAGCGCCAACAUUGGCAGCAGUAUAUGAAAUGUAAUGCAGGUAAAUGACCGGGGUUUAUAUCAUACAUGUAACGUUCAGUUUUCUCUGGUUGUCCUUCGGCUGUGAAGCUGCCAAUGAGAAGUUGGUAUUUUGGUGUCCUAGCAGAUGUAACCUGGAAGUAGCAGAAUAAUUGCCGCCUUUCCUCCCUGAAAGAAUGCUGUGCACAGAACGGUAAGCAACAUCCAUGGCAUUUUAACUUUAAGUCUUAAAAGAAAAUGUUUAAUGAGAAAUCAUUCACCACGCUGAACUUGUGAUGGAUAACCUCUAUACCACAUUAUCUGAGACCUGCAGAGACAUAGUUACAAAUUCACACAAGGCUUGUUAAUGUUACACUGAGCAAAUGAACGGGUUGGUUUCAUGAGCUGAAAUAAAAGUUCGCAGAAAUCUUCCAUGCGCACAAGAACCUUAUUUCUCAAAUGUUUUGCACAAACUUGUUUAUACCUGUUAGUGAGCAUUUUCCUUUGCCAAGAUGAUCCAUCCACCUGAUAUGUGACAUAAGCUUCUUUAUUAAACAGCAUGAUCAUUACACAGGUACACCUUGUGCUGUGAAAAAAAUAUGCCGUUUUGUCAACACAAUGCCACAGAUCUCUCAUGUUGAGGGAGCGCAAUUAGCAUGCCGACUGCAGGAAUGUCAACCAGAGCUGUUGCCAGAUUUGGAUUUUAAUUUCUCUACCAUAAGCAGCAUCCCAACAUUUUAGAAUUUGUCAGGACUUCCAUAUUUUCACCUAUACGAUCUGAGACCGCUACCCGGACAGCUGAAACUGGGUUUGCUCAACAUUCAGUUCUGCAUGGACUGUCAUACAGUCUCAGGACACUUGGGUGUCUUGACCUGACUAUGCUCACCUUUGUUGGAGUGUGCCCUUCACAGGUGUAUCCCAGUUUCAACUGUACCGGGUAGAUGGCAGGCAGCGUCCAGUGUUGUGGGUGCGCAGUUUGCUGAUGUCAAAGUUGCGAAGAGUGCCCUAUGGUGGCAGUGGUGUUACGAUAUGGGCAGGCAUAAGCAAUGGCCAACUACAUACAAAUUGCCGUCGAUAAUAUGUAAUUGUGUUUUGAGGUUCCGUGAUGAGAUCCUGAGGCCUGUUGUGCCGCCAUCUGUCUCACCUCGUGUUUCAGCGCUAAUCCAUGGCCCUAUGUUGUAAUGAUCUGUACAAAAUUCCUGUGAGCUGAAAUGUCCUGUUUCUUCCAUGGCUUACAUACAGAGCAUGUUUAUGAUGCUUUGUAUGAUUGUGUGUUCCUGCAAUAUCCAUCCACUUCGAACAGGCCACACUCACCUCAUCUGCUCAACUCUAUGCGAAGGAGAUGUUGUGAUGCCUGAGGUAAAUGGUUGUUGCACGAGCCUUUAUCUGUGACAAAUCUAUUCCCUGUCAUGUGAAAUCUAUAGAUUAGGGCCUACUGGAUUUAGUACCAUAGCCUGAUUUUCCUUGACUUAACUUUGAAAAUUUGAAAUUAGUUCGGUAUAGAUUAAACCUACUAAUGGACUAAAGCUCUUUCAAUGGAGAAUCCAUGUAGGCACCAAUAGGUUUGUUUUUCAGCACAUGUAUUAAUGGUGUUUCCUACCUCUUGAUGUACUUGUGGCUCCAAUUGCAUGAUAAACUGACCCACAAUGACUUAACUGCCCGCUUUAGUGGGAAGCAGGUAUGGCACAGUCUCAGGUACCCAGACCCUCGCCAGGAGGGCAAAGUGUCCUAACCUAUUAAUCACGCACGUUUGGUGCAAUACUCAAGAACUAGCAUCAAUGUAUUUGGACCCACUACUUAAUGUGUAUGCUGUUGCCUUGAUAUGUUGCUCUUCAAACUUACCUGUUACAUCUUUAUUUUCAGAGUCUGACAGUGUGGGGUUGACAUGGCGCCACAGGUCAUUGUAAGUCUGCCUCAUUUGGUUACACACUGGCUAAAUGUAUAUUGGUCUCAUCGAAAUCUGCCCCUUGAGGUGUUGCAGUCCGACUAUGUGUUGAGCCUGUGUCAUGAGGGGCGGAGAGUAACCGGGCUACGUCUACGCCAAGGACCCAGGACAGUGGGUACUUUGCAUGACUAUGGCGCCGAUAUUGGGACCCAUUUUAGACCAGCAGACAAAUGUCAACUUCUAGUGCUUGAACAGGUGGCCGAGUGCUUGAUUUAAGCUCCCUCGGUAGUUUAGCUUGUUUUGCCAAAACCACUUAUUACUGACUGGUAAUUGCCAUUGGGCCAAUACUUAGUUGAUUCAACUAACCUGAGGUUUUAUGACUUGGUCACUUUUUUUAAAGGGUUGCCAGGUUUUUUAUAUUAUUCUCACCAAUUUCCUGAUUUGAUCGAUGGGACAGGUGCUGAAGAACGACUGAAGAUUGGCCUGUUGAAGAUGAAAGGUGGCAGUACCUUAGAAGAAAGCAGAUUGUUCAGUUGCCAGUCCUAGACUAGGGUGCCAUCUGAUUGUGUAUGCAGCUGCCACUAUUAUAGCCGUUAGAUGCCGUUAAUCACAGCAAGCUCAGUUUUAGUUUCUGGUUAUCACGUGAAAACCCUUUACUCUGGGUGACCUAGGUGAAAUUGGCUCAACAAAUAUUAAUUAAACAUACCUGCCCUGUUCGAUUUGAAUAAAUGUAUUGCUUUCAAGAUAAUUAAAAUAAACUCAAGCUGAUCUCAGUGGCUGUUUGAUUUUUUUUUUUUUAAGCAUUUCUUCAGAUGCCCUUCACUGACAACUACAGAGAACUGAAUGUUGAGUGAAGUCACAGGUCUGCUGGAAUGGAUGGACAAACUACACAAUGGUAACCGGAUUAAUCGGCAUUUUUGGACACCGAUCAUGGCCGAUGCGAUUGCAGCAAGGAGCUAGCAUUAAACGCGUCCGUUUUAUAAAUCUUAACAUUGUCACUAGUUAACUACACAUGGUUAUUUCCAGCUUGUCCUGCGUUGCCUGUUAAAUCAUUGAAAUUUAGCCUACUUUUGAUUUUAUAAGCGUAUUUGUGAAAAGCACUU